rnacentral:rRNA from 1 species
UACGUAGGGUGCGAGCGUUGUCCGGAAUUAUUGGGCGUAAAGGGCUCGUAGGCGGUCUGUCGCGUCUGCUGUGAAAACUCGGGGCUUAACCCCGGGCCUGCAGUGGGUACGGGCAGACUAGAGUGCGGUAGGGGAGACUGGAAUUCCUGGUGUAGCGGUGAAAUGCGCAGAUAUCAGGAGGAACACCGGUGGCGAAGGCAGCUCGCUGGAACGGUACUGACGCUGAGGCGCGAAAGCGUGGGGAGCGAACAGG